rnacentral:lncRNA from 1 species
UUUUAAUGGUCCGUAUGAGCAGGAGAAAUGGCCACAUCAAAUAAACCAUGAGUUUGCAUCAGCAUCAGAGUAUUAAGACAGCCUUGAAAAAACGUGAACCCAUCAGUUAAUCCUUAUCUCUCAGUGGCAUCUUGCCAGUUUUGGUUUCACUUGACUACAGUAUCCAGUACAGCAGGGUGUAAUUUAAUAUUUAGUCUUUUUUUCUUCAGAAUUUACACAGUUAUUAUGAUUAUUUUAAACCAUAAAUGAUGAUAGUUGAUAGUGAUGAUCACCAAGAUUCAAGGUGAGAAACGAUAACAGAUCUUUAUUUCCAAUGUGGACACAACAAAUGUGAACCAAACAUCCAAAUAUGGCAAUCUAAAGUCUCCAAAGUAUCAGGUAUCCACAGGAACAUAUCCAGCCUGGAUAUGUGCUGCAUUUUCUCAUGAAACUGUGUUUUAGAACGUCGAGCGCUUCCCUGCCCAGCGGAUGAGUUGGACAUCCCUCAGGCUCUGCUCAAGGCUUUGGAGUCAGAAAGCGAUUCACCUCCCUGGCCCUCAUUGCACGUCAACAUGGACAACAAGGGAGAGGAAAAGCAGCUCUCUGAAAAGUCUCUGCACCCUCCCGCCUCCCCUGCGAUGCUCCCUGACCACCUCAAAUGCAACAUCCUCAAAGCCCAGAUGGAGGCAGCUUUCAGGAAGGAGGCUCCUACAACGCCCAGAGGAAAGGACUCAAAUGACAUGCUCAAAGACAGGUACCAGAGCUCAUCUCAAGAUUCGGCUGCCUCCAGCCUGCCUGCAGAAAAGACUCCACACAGGCAUGACCGCAACCCGACGCCAGAGAGGCUGCAACCCAAGGCCAACUCCAGCACCAACCGUAGAAAACGGCUGGUCAGGCAGUUCAGCUUUAAUCACGAAGAUGAAGAUAAUCUCCCCGAGGCACUUGCAGCCAUCUCCUCCCAGAGCACAGCAAAGUCGGCCUCCAGCAGCUCAUUGGACAAACAGAUACAGCCUUCCAUAUACCCACAGGUGGAUAAUAUGCCAGCACUGGAGCUGAGCAGUCCAUGCUGUCCCUCUCCUUCACCUUCCCCCCACCUGUCCCCUUCUUACUACCGUAGCUCUAAUCCUCACCUGGUCCCUUACCAUGCUGCCCAUAACGACAGCGGAGAGGAAACAAGGUUGGACAGAGAGAAGAUACUAAGAGCCCUUUUGAUGACAGAGCUUUGAGACCUUGACCUUUUUAACUGGUUUUAACUGGAAGUGUAAAAAGAAGUCCCAAAGUCGUUGGCUGUUAUCAACAUUUGUAUAUUUGCAUAACACAUUCAGUACUUAUAAUUAUAUACAUUUGCAUUAAGGCAAUUGUUAUAUUUGCUUAAAUGUUCUUUUAGAAGGAUGUUUCUUUAGGUUCACCCACCUGAAACUGUAUAAAAUAUCAGUGACAUAGAAUCAAACGGACUCACUAAUUAACUGACUGACACACAAACACACACAAUACAGACAAACUACAGAUAUGACUGGUGCUGCCUGCAUGAUAACUAUGUCACGAGAUGAAAUGUUUAUCUGAUUUGCUUUGGAUAUGUUUUGUUUUUCUGUGAUUUCAUCAUCACUGUGUCCACGCUGAUGCCUAAACUGUGUUUCAGACAGCGACUGUUGAAGCGUCAAGCGCUACACUUAAACAAAGAAGAAAAUAAAAAGCACUGCUGAAGUAAAGUGUCACUUCACUUUCAAAUCAGUUUGUUCAAAAUGUAAAUAGUGAUUGUAAUAAACAUGCUGUUAUUGUAACAGAGUAGGCACUCAAAAUGCUUACAUCAUUAUUGUAUUUCUUCUUAUGUUGGACAUCUGCUUUGACAUGACACAACAUUUGAGGCUGAAGAAACUUCCAGACCAGACUGAAAGGGAAUUCUGGCAGGUUGAGGCUGGAUUUUAGGGGCUGUGAAGCUGCAGUGUCAUUUGUCCACUAGGAGGAGACAAAUGUGCAGCCACAACUCCUUGUUCUGUUACUGCCAGUUAACAACACAA